UACGGUAGGGUGCAAGCGUUAAUCGGAAUUACUGGGCGUAAAGCGUGCGCAGGCGGUUUUGUAAGUCUGUCGUGAAAUCCCCCGGGCUCAACCUGGGAAUUGCGAUGGAGACUGCAAGGCUAGAAUCUGGCAGAGGGGGGUAGAAUUCCACGUGUGAGCAGUGAAAUGCGUAGAGAUGUGGAGGAACACCGAUGCGAAGGCAGCCCCCUGGGUCAAGAUUGACGCUACAUGCACGAAGCGUGGGAGCAACAAGGA
rnacentral:rRNA from 1 species